AUUCCCGUAGACAAAUUAGGUAAAGUCAACACCCUUUCAAGGUGUGGUUUGAGGGUUCAAGUCCCUUCGGGAAUGCCA
rnacentral:tRNA from 16 species